rnacentral:rRNA from 1 species
UGCCAGCCGCCGCGGUAAUACGGGAGUGGCAAGCGUUAUCCGGAAUUAUUGGGCGUAAAGGGUCCGUAGGUGGAUAAUUAAGUCAGAGGUGAAAUCCUGCAGCUCAACUGUAGAAUUGCCUUUGAUACUGGUUGUCUUGAGUUAUUAUGAAGUAGUUAGAAUAUGUAGUGUAGCGGUGAAAUGCAUAGAUAUUACAUAGAAUACCAAUUGCGAAGGCAGAUUACUAAUAAUCAACUGACACUGAUGGACGAAAGCGUGGGGAGCGAACAGGAUUAGAUA